rnacentral:misc_RNA from 1 species
UUUCCGUUGGUGAACCAGCGGAGGGAUCAUUACUGGACUCGCAAGACUCCAUCACCCUGUGAACUUAACUUCAAGCACGUUGCUUCGGCGGGUGCCUCGGCGACGGUCCACCCUCCCCGGGGCGCGACAUCCGCUGGCAGCCCAUCAAUCCCUGUCUCCCUCCGUUGGCAUCUAGAGUACAAACAAACAAGACAAAACAUACAACAACAGAUCUCCUGGUUACGGCAGCGAUGAAGAACGCAGCAGCUCGGAAGAGCACAGCUCAGAAGAACAGCACAC